AAACGUCAACAUUCAGUGACCUGAACUUUCAAGAAAAUCUCUUUAAAAACCACUCUACGCCACCCCAUCUCAUUCGUGGUAUAUUAAGAUAUUGAUUUAUGCUUUUUCUUUCGAGAUUCAUCUUGUUGCGUGCAAAUACUGGGAAGCUGUUAACUGUCUCCGUUAUAAUAAUAAUAACACAGUAAUAUAAAGCCACAAUCAAGCUUUUUCCAUCAGAGAAAAUCGCACUUGUUCACUCACCUAAUAGUUCUGAUACUAUCCGAGAGUCUGUUUGGAUUCAGACACUCGAAAAUUCCGUGGGCUUUUUUCUUUCUUUCUUUUGGAUUGGCUGUUUUUAUCUGGAAUUAAGAGUAGGAAAAGGAUUGAAAAAGGGCAAAAAAAAAAAAGCAUUUUCCUUUUUUGUAAUUUGGCAAGUAAUAGACAGUGUGAUAGCAAGAGAGAGAUGAGUAAGAGCCUGGAAAAAAUGGCAUCAAUUGAUGUACAGUUGAGGCUAUUGGCACCCGGGAAGGUUUCAGAGGAUGAUAAAUUGGUGGAGUAUGAUGCUCUGUUAUUGGAUCGUUUUCUUGAUAUUCUUCAGGACUUGCAUGGGGAGGAAAUCAGAGAAACGGUACCGAGUUUUUAUUUUUAUUAAAUUUUCGAAUUUUGUUUAUUAUUUAAGUUUUUUAUUGUGGGUUUUGGCUAAUUUUGUGUUUUGAAUGGGAAUCCCACUUGCAAUUUGUUGAAUUAUUUUCUUAAUUUAUUCUGUGAAUAAGGAGUAAGCUUUUUCAGUGGACAUCCAUUUGAAAUAUUUUUAACCUAUUAAUGUUGCUUGUGCAUGGUUUUGUUAUCACCUUAAUGUAACUCCGACACUGUCAUAGGACUUCGUAGCUUUGUAUAACUCCAAUUUCCGCCUGACUGUAUCAUAGGGUUAAUAAUUAUGUUUUAUUGUCGCUAAUAUUUAACUUUGCAUUUUCUUUUGUCAAAUAAACAGCUUUCCGCUGCUAAUUCUUGUUUAGAGCUAUACAUAUUGUUUUAUUAGCUGAUGAUAUUUGGUUCUCUAAUACUUAACGAGUACAAAGCUCAGAACCUUGAAGUUCGCAUAAUGCUAUUAAAAACAUUCUUGAAGUUUUUAUUGAUGUCAAAGAAUGUGCAUCUGUUGGGAAUUUUACUGGUGUCAGUUUUUGUGAAACCUAUUUUGUGACUUUGAUUAUGGACAAGGUUCAAGACUGCUACGAGCUCUCUGCAGAGUAUGAAGGGUCGCGUGAUCCACAGAAACUGGAAGAGCUUGGGAAAGUCCUAACGAGUUUGGAUGCUGGGGAUUCUAUUGUGCUUGCAAAAUCUUUUUCCAACAUGCUUAAUUUAGCCAACUUGGCUGAAGAGGUUCAGAUUGCAUACAGACGUAGAAGUAAGCUAAAAAAGCGUGACUUUUCUGAUGAGGCCUCAGCAACAACUGAAUCGGAUAUUGAAGAGACACUAAAGAGGCUUGUAGGACAACUGAACAAGACUCCUGAAGAAGUUUUUGAUGCUUUGAAGAAUCAGACUGUUGAUUUAGUAUUUACAGCACAUCCUACUCAGUCUGUUCGUAGAUCUUUGCUUCAAAAGCAUGCAAGGUUUGUGAUUAAUGUUGGUUUAAUGAGAAGUAGCUUAUAUGUAUAGUUCAUUGUUUUACCUACAUGACAGGGCAUCGUGUGGCACCCGUACAUUAUUAUUCAUAUCUAGUUAAAUUUUUGGAAAAUUCUUACCUCUUCCAUUUGCAUGUUUCCAGGAUUCGAGAUUGUUUGACUCAGCUAAAUGCCAAAGACAUUACUCCUGACGAUAAGCAGGAGCUUGAUGAGGCGUUGCAAAGAGACGUAUGUUGUUUGUAUAUUAGGUCUGUCACAGCAUGUGUAACUUGUUCUUCUUAAGAGUUUUCUAUUGUGAUCUGAGUCAGAAUAAUGUCUAUUUUCUAAUUAUGCAUACUUGCACGCUGCAUUAUUUUGUUAGCCUAAAAUUAUUCUCCAACCGGAUCCGGAUCCGGAUCCGGAUCUGCUUUACUGUAACAAAUAACACAAAAAAGUGAUUAAUGGUACCCCUGUAGGUUCUAUACAUCAGUAAGUUUAACAUACUGCCAAGUCUGACUUCCAUGUUUGUGCCCCAUCAAAGCUGAGAAAUUUGAUCACCUCCCAUCGAAACAUACAUGCUCACACAUCUAUGUCGCUCCCUCUUAUAACCCAUUCUUAAGUGUAAAGCAUUUGCAUUAACAUAAGCAUUACCAUGCAUUGGUUUUGUGACCUUCCAACUGGUCCAUGAGUUUUAGAAGUGCUAAAAAGUCCAAAUUUCCUAAAAUGCUCCUUAAUGGGGUGUGUAGAUGAGAAUAAAUGAAUCCUCAGUUUAUGGUGUAAUGUCUAAGAAGUGAGCUACUUAGGUCAUCUCAUCACUGAAGUUAUUAAAUAAUUGAAUAACUCAACUUUUGGAGAAUAUCAGUCCCAUUUUUGACUGAUUAUCAUAAUGCAGUCAUCUAGGAAGCAUUGAUACGGACACGAGUGUCAGACUGACGAUGUAUCUUUUAGCGUGUUGGUAAUGCGUUCAAGUACAAAACCAAAAAAAUAAUUUGAACACACCACUUCACAUUUUCAGCAUGUGUCAGUGUUGGACACGAUGUAUCUCUAGUGCGUCGGUAACGCAUCCAAUUAUACGAAACUAAAAAAGGAUUAGGGCAUACCACUUCACAUUUUCAUUAUGUGUCAGCAACGUGUCGGAGUCUGAUAUGACUUGCCGGUGUUGGGAGAGUGUCGGUGCAUCCCAUGACUUGCCGGUGCUCGUAGAGUGCCAGUGAGUCCUAGGGAUUCGUUAAUUAAAACUUGAUACUAACAAAAUCAAUGCCAAUCUCUCCAAACUUCAAUUUCUUCACAUUUAUCUUUUAAUCCUUUGUCCAUGCAUGUAGAUACAAGCUGCUUUUCGCACUGAUGAAAUUAGGAGGAAUCCUCCUACUCCUCAAGAUGAGAUGAGGGCAGGAAUGAGUUACUUCCAUGAAACGAUUUGGAAGGGGGUGCCAAAAUUCUUACGACGCGUUGACACUGCUUUGAAAAACAUUGGAAUAAAUUAGCGUGUUCCCUAUAAUGCUCCUCUUAUCCAAUUCUCUUCUUGGAUGGGUGGGGAUCGUGAUGGUAUUGUUUUCUAAUUUCUUAUUUUGCCGGAGUAAUUAUCACUUUUCUUUAUUUGCAUGAUAUUUUCUUUGAGAAGCAGGGCAUAUUCUAAGAUCUGCUUUAAUAAAAAAUCGAUGAACAGACAAGGCUGCCCCAACUGUGGUUUUUCAUUUAUUUUAUUUUAUUUUUGUUAGGCUGUCUCACAUAAACUUUAUCAAGUGCUUCAUUCCACAAAUAUCCAUAUAUAAAUGGGAACUUUUCAAAGUAUGCAUCCAAAUUAUAAAAUGUAAAUGUCUGGAAUGGUAGAAUUAUGGUCUUCCCUUUGUAGUUGUUGAAAAGCAGCUAAUUUCCUAUUGACAUUGGAAAUCAAUGAGUGCACAAACUGAUUUCUUUACGAAUCUGCAUCUGUCGUUUAUCUCCAUGGCAGAGAAAAUAACACAAUUAUGGUUAUUUGUUUUGAAUAAAUUUUCAAGCCAGCAAAUACUUUAUUUACCAUAUCUAGAUCUUGAAGCACUCUUCUUAAAAUUCAUUUUCCAACUUGUUAGUCAAAGUGCAAUUAAGACAUGUUUAAAUGUUGUGGCAGGCAAUCCAAGGGUAACUCCUGAAGUUACAAGGGAUGUAUGCUUAUUAGCUAGAAUGAUGGCUGCUAAUUUGUACUUCUCCCAGAUUGAGGAUCUCAUGUUCGAGGUAAGAAAUAGUCACCGCGGCAUUAACCUUUGAGCAGUGCCUGGAUUGAUCAAAACUUCGAAUUUUUAUAAAAUAUACUGUCUCUGGUAGCUUUCUAUGUGGCGCUGCAAUGAAGAACUCCGUGCACGUGCAGAUGAACUUCACAGCACUUCCAAAAGAGAUGCAAAGCAUUACAUUGGUAUGUUCUUUUUAUUUUUAGUUUGAACUGACAUACUUAUUCAAAUAUUUCCCCAUCACUGGUGAUAGCAUUUAUUUAUUUUCUUCAUUUACCUUUUGUAUUCUUUUUGGUUAUUCCAGUCAUCAUCUAACUAUGUCUGUGGUCUUUAAUCUUUAUAGUUUCAUUGAUAUUAUAAGUCUGCAUACUUGUACCCCUUUUCCAUUAUCUUUAAUACAUUCUUUUGAUCUAAUCUUGUGCUCCUUGAAUAAUUCUUUCCCUUAUUAUGAAGGUGCUAGUAAAUGGUAAUUAAUCUGGGAGUAGAUUGUAUUAUUUAAUUCUUCUUAAAAAUUCAAAUAUGACGGGUUUCUGUUUGUCUGAUAGUUCUUCUCAUGUUUGAUACCAGAGUUCUGGAAGCAAAUUCCGCCAAAUGAACCAUAUCGUGUUAUUCUUGCUGAUGUGAGGGACAAGCUGUAUCAUACACGUGAACGUGCUCGUCAAUUGCUAGCCAAUGGAAUCUCUGAUAUUCCAGAGGAGGCAACCUUCAUCAAUGUUGAUGAGGUCUGGCCCUGACAAGAACUUGUAUCUUCGCUAAUUCGCUCACAUUUUUAAUUUUCAGAAUGCAAGUUGUGAACAAAUUGACUGAAUAUUUUUGAAACAUUAGAUGUAUCAUAGAGACUCAUUAUUACUGUCAUUGCUUUAUU
rnacentral:lncRNA from 1 species